GGACUUGGCGAUGGGUGAGGGGUGUGUGUGUGUGUGUGUGUGUGUGUGUGCGCGCGCGUGCGCGCGCAUGCACACACGUAUGCACACAAGUGAG
rnacentral:pre_miRNA from 1 species